UGCGGCGUGAGGUCAGCGCGUCCGGGCGCGCGCGCCUAUGUUUCUAAUUUUAGCCGCAGCUGGGGCUGCAGAACUUAGGUCGGCUGAGUUAACAGGAGGACGCUCACUGGGUAUGGUCCUUGGAGGAUAUGAUAAGGAAAAGAUAUUGAUCUAAAAAAAUACCAGUGAUAAUAUGGAUAAAGAAACUGGACCUGUAAUUUCAGGGAUCCAAGAAACUUGUGGGUCAGGUAGUUCCCUGUUAUCAGCAUGAUAUCUUCAACUUAAAUAGGAAUGGAUUGAAGGAGAAGGAUGAGAAGAGAAAGAAGGAGCUUAUUUUUUAAAAAAAUUUAAAUUACUGACAGUUUUAUUAGCCAUUUAUUAUUUUUAUUCAUUAUUUAUGUUAUGUUCUAUUUAUAUUAUAUAUCUGUGUUACUAUUAAUACUUAUUAUUAACUAGGAAGAAAUGGAGAAUGGGGAUGUAGGGAUGACAUUGAAAAAGAUGGGGGCUAAAGCAACAAUUAGCCUUUCCAUACCUUAGGGAUAGCCAUUGAUGACCUCAUUAAUUCCUAUGCAGUAUCUACUUGCAUAAGAAAAGGUAUAAGUCCAGAAAGGGUCUUUUUAAAAAAUUUUUACUUGGAGAUAUAGAAUUUAAAUUAAAUUUAAAUAUAUUUUUCCCAGACUAUAAAUAUGAGAGAAUUCUGGAGUUGCUAAACAGAUAAACAGAAGACAGUGGGUUUUUUUUUCCCUCUGAAAGAAAGUUAAAGGGAGAUGAUCUCAGGGUCAGAAGCUAAUGAAUUUAUUAAUAGUCUCAGGCUGCCUAAAUUCUGUAGGAUAGAAUAUAAGCCACUAAAUCUUUAGACACCUUCCUGGAGAGGAGUUUAACUAAUCUUUACCUCUUUACUGCAGUUCUGAAUGCCACUGGGACAGAAGUAACCACUGCAUAUUUAUAAAGGGAUAAUGGGAUCCUAAUCACACAAAGGUGCUUGGUCGUUUUUAUGGGUCCAGCAUUAUUUAACAUAUAAUAUUUGGGGAGGGGAUGAUAAGUAGGGGGAGGAAAGGAGUUGCUAGUAAAACAUACUUAUAGUCAAUAGAAAUCAGAAAAAUAACAUACGAUAAGUGUAAAUGGCUUACAUAAUACUCAUUUAUGAAUUGCUUUAUAUGCUUUCUCAUUUUAAUGCUUUUAAUAAUUGUAUGAAGCAGAUAGCAUGACUUUUAUUGUCCCAAUUUUACAUAUGAGGAAAUUAUGAACUUGUCACAACUCAGUGGAAAAAAUCAUCACAAUCUAAAACUUCAAGAUUCUAAGUUGAAGACAUUGAGAACUAUCAAUGUGUGCAAUAUUCUCAGCUCUGCAAAAUUUUCAUGACAAUAUCUUAUACAUAUGUAAGGUUAUUGUGAAGAUUGAGUUAUCACCCUGGAUACUUUAGAAUCAGCUGGAGCCAGGA